CGGCGGCCUAUCCAGUCGGAGGUCCUGCCAGCUGCGGCUGAACCCACAAGUGAGUAUAUAUUAAUCAAGCCUGCCAGGAGUUCUACUUGAACAUCUGAGAUUUUCAGUUCAUCCUUGAUGUAGAUAGAAGCUCCACUCAUCACUCCAAUGUCUACAAACCAAGAAACAUAUUAAUCAACUUUGCAACUAAAACAAGCUGCACUUGCAUGAAAAACAAAUUUAAUAUCAGUUAGAUUUAAUAUUUGUAUCCAUUUCUUUUAUACAAAAUCAGUUAAAAUUAUGAAAAUUAUAAUUUUUACAUGAACUCCAUUUUAUAUUUGUAUCAAGAGAGUACUGUGUAAUGAUCAAGAAGUCUUUUUUUUUUUUCUUUAAAAGCUCACCAUAGCCAAGUAAGGUAGAGGUCAUGGAAGCCAAGAUUGCACAAGCAAGAGCAAACUUGUUUCUCUUGGGCUUCUCUGGUGGAUCAAAAUCUGCAAGUGUUUUCUCUGCAGGUUGGCUUCUUGGAUUGACAUCUCUCUCUGUGUUUGUAUCAGCCAUCUCUCUUCACCUCAGAAAAGAGAGAGAGAGAGAAUUUUAAAAUGGUGAUUAGGUUUUGUGUAAGGUUGUUGUGGAUAAGCUCAAGCAGCCAUGAAGAGCAGAAGUUUGAAAAUAUGGUAGCUCUCCAUGGGAAACUGGAGUUGCUUAUAUAGACAAACGGCUUCGGACAUUAUCUUGUAAUAACUAAAAUAGCAUAAUGAAGUGAAAAGAAAAAAAAAUUCAUAUGGGCGAGCUGCUGUGCUGACUCGUUUACUUUGAAAUAGACGGAUUUUAAUUUUAUCGUAGAUUACAACAUGAAUGACUAAGGGUGUGCAAUAUUUCUAAAUUUCUUAAUUAAAAAAAUCUAAUUCAAAUAAAAAAAUUAUUAAAAAAUUCAAAUCGUAUCAAACUAGAAUUAUUUUUCUUUUUUUCUAAUUUGUCACUCACAUCUUCAACUCGAUGCCGUACUACAUUGAAUAUCCAAUUUCAUACAUAUAUUUUUUAAUUAUAUUAAAAUAUAUUAUAUAGUUUAAAUAAAAUAACUUUUGAAAAAGGAGAUGCAAACUUUGCAAUGUUUUCCUCAUUUUCUUCUGAAGGUUUAUCCUUCUUUCUCUCUCGGUUCUGGUUGAUUUAUCCUGCCUAAUUCCGGAUGAGAAAAGCUUAUGUUUUUCCUUUCCGAUUGUGGAUUUUUGCUUUCCUCAUGGCCGAGAAGAUGUAGAUAAUUUUUUGCCUCCUCUAUAGAUUUUUGUCUAUAUAAAUAAAAUAUAUAUUGAUUUGUCUUUUCUGUUGAAUUUGCAUUUUGUUUUUACUCUUGCAUAUUGAUUCUUUUGCAAGUAGUCGCAGCAGUUGAGGGAGUUGGAGACGCCGUUUCUAGAUCUGUGGUUUCUCUGGCUAUUUGUAGGACUUUCUCGCGAGUCGUCAUUUUAGCUUGGUCUGAACAUCUCUGAGGAUAUUCAUGGAGCCUCAGUCGUUUCGGCUUCCCGAUCCUUCAUCAUCUACAAGAGAUUGAGAUGGCGUUGAACUCAAUUCCGCUGCCUAUCGAGAUCUCCAGUCACUCCCUUCCUCCUUCCCGUUUGCACAAAUAUAGAGUUCUUUAGUCGUUUUUCUGGAGCAGAUCUUCCUAUUUGGUAGAUUGCUGUCGUGUUCUCUCAGUAAUGUUCCGGAUCAUUGGCUUGGGCAGAGAAGACUUGUGGUUGCUUCUAAGUUGGUUGCUUUACUGCUCGGGUUUUUCUUCUCACGGUCGGACCUCUGAUUAGCCUAGGGUUUUCCUAAUUUUUUGGAAAAAUUACUUUUUAGUCUCUGAGGUUUAACGUAAUUAACACUUCUGUCCCUCUAUUUUGACGACCCAACACAUAAGUCCCUCACUUUCUCUUUCGUCCAAAUUCGUAGUCCUUUCGUCCAUUUAAAUCGUUUGGUCAAAGAGUCAACGGUGAGAGGUGAUAAUUUUUUCUAAAAAUACCCUUCUCUCAAUGUGAAAUUCUUAUUUUUUUUUUCUUUCAUGUUUUCUCAAGAAGAAAAAGAAGAAGAAGAAAAAGAAGUUGCAGAAAUGGUAGGAAGAAGAAGAAAGAAGAAGAAGUUGCAAAAAGGGUAAGAAGAAGAAGAAGAAAAAGAAAAAAAAGAAGAAAGAAGUUGCAAAAAGGGUAGGAAGAAGAAGAAAAAGUGUUAAUUACGUGUUGGAUAGAAAAGAAAAUGAGGGAUUUAAAUGUUGGAUCGCCAAAAUAGAGGGACAAAAGUGUUAAUUACGUUAAAUUUCAGGGAUUAAAAAGUAAUUUUUUCUAAUUUUUUUUUAUUUUGCGGGCUAUUGAGGGUUUGAGGAGGUGGUUGUUUGAAUGCUAAAAACUGCCCAAUUUUAGAAAUAUUAUAAUCUAUUAUUUUUUACAUGUAAAUUAAAAACUUUAUUUUUCAGAUA
rnacentral:lncRNA from 1 species